GAUAAGGAGCUUGCUCCUUUGACGUUAGCGGCGGACGGGUGAGUAACACGUGGGUAACCUACCUAUAAGACUGGGAUAACUUCGGGAAACCGGAGCUAAUACCGGAUAACAUUUGGAACCGCAUGGUUCUAAAGUGAAAGAUGGUUUUGCUAUCACUUAUAGAUGGACCCGCGCCGUAUUAGCUAGUUGGUAAGGUAACGGCUUACCAAGGCGACGAUACGUAGCCGACCUGAGAGGGUGAUCGGCCACACUGGAACUGAGACACGGUCCAGACUCCUACGGGAGGCAGCAGUAGGGAAUCUUCCGCAAUGGGCGAAAGCCUGACGGAGCAACGCCGCGUGAGUGAUGAAGGGUUUCGGCUCGUAAAACUCUGUUAUUAGGGAAGAACAAAUGUGUAAGUAACUGUGCACGUCUUGACGGUACCUAAUCAGAAAGCCACGGCUAACUACGUGCCAGCAGCCGCGGUAAUACGUAGGUGGCAAGCGUUAUCCGGAAUUAUUGGGCGUAAAGCGCGCGUAGGCGGUUUCUUAAGUCUGAUGUGAAAGCCCACGGCUCAACCGUGGAGGGUCAUUGGAAACUGGGAAACUUGAGUGCAGAAGAGGAAAGUGGAAUUCCAUGUGUAGCGGUGAAAUGCGCAGAGAUAUGGAGGAACACCAGUGGCGAAGGCGACUUUCUGGUCUGUAACUGACGCUGAUGUGCGAAAGCGUGGGGAUCAAACAGGAUUAGAUACCCUGGUAGUCCACGCCGUAAACGAUGAGUGCUAAGUGUUAGGGGGUUUCCGCCCCUUAGUGCUGCAGCUAACGCAUUAAGCACUCCGCCUGGGGAGUACGACCGCAAGGUUGAAACUCAAAGGAAUUGACGGGGACCCGCACAAGCGGUGGAGCAUGUGGUUUAAUUCGAAGCAACGCGAAGAACCUUACCAAAUCUUGACAUCCUUUGAAAACUCUAGAGAUAGAGCCUUCCCCUUCGGGGGACAAAGUGACAGGUGGUGCAUGGUUGUCGUCAGCUCGUGUCGUGAGAUGUUGGGUUAAGUCCCGCAACGAGCGCAACCCUUAAGCUUAGUUGCCAUCAUUAAGUUGGGCACUCUUAGGUUGACUGCCGGUGACAAACCGGAGGAAGGUGGGGAUGACGUCAAAUCAUCAUGCCCCUUAUGAUUUGGGCUACACACGUGCUACAAUGGACAAUACAAAGGGCAGCUAAACCGCGAGGUCAUGCAAAUCCCAUAAAGUUGUUCUCAGUUCGGAUUGUAGUCUGCAACUCGACUACAUGAAGCUGGAAUCGCUAGUAAUCGUAGAUCAGCAUGCUACGGUGAAUACGUUCCCGGGUCUUGUACACACCGCCCGUCACACCACGAGAGUUUGUAACACCCGAAGCCGGUGGAG
rnacentral:rRNA from 2 species